rnacentral:rRNA from 1 species
UACAGAGGUUCCAAGCGUUGUUCGGAUUCACUGGGCGUAAAGGGUGCGUAGGCUGUCGGGUAAGUCUGGCGUGAAAUCUCCAAGCCUAACUUGGAAACUGCGUUGGAUACUAUCCGGCUCGAGGAAUGGAGGGGAGACUGGAAUACUUGGUGUAGCAGUGAAAUGCGUAGAUAUCAAGUGGAACACCAGUGGCGAAGGCGAGUCUCUGGACAUUUCCUGACGCUGAGGCACGAAAGCCAGGGGAGCAAACGGG